GACGAACGCUGGCGGCGUGCUUAACACAUGCAAGUCGAACGGAAAGGCCCUGCUUUUGUGGGGUGCUCGAGUGGCGAACGGGUGAGUAACACGUGUGUAUCCUGCCCUUGACUUUGGUAUAACUUCAGGUAACUGGGGCUAAUACCGGAUAGGAUCUCCUGCUGCAUGGUGGGGGUUGGAUAUUUUCGGCGGUUGGGGAUGGACUCGCUGCUUAUCAUCUUGUUUGUGGGGUAGUGGCUUACCAAGGCUUUGACGGGUAGCAGGCCUGAGAGGGUUACCGGCAAAAAUGGGACUGAGAUACGGACCAGAAUCCAACGGGAGGCAGCAGUGGGGAAUAGUGCACAAUGGGAGGAAGCCUGAUGCAGAAACGCAGCGUGCGGGAUGACGGCCUUCGGGUUGUAAAAAGAUUGAGAAUGUGACGAAGAGUGAGUGACGGUAAUGGGUAAAGAAGCACCGGCUAACUACGUG
rnacentral:rRNA from 1 species